rnacentral:rRNA from 1 species
GGGAAUAUUGGACAAUGGGCGCAAGCCUGAUCCAGCCAUGCCGCGUGAGUGAUGACGGCCUUAGGGUUGUAAAGCUCUUUCGCACGCGACGAUAAUGACGGUAGCGUGAGAAGAAGCCCCGGCUAACUUCGUGCCAGCAGCCGCGGUAAUACGAAGGGGGCUAGCGUUGUUCGGAAUCACUGGGCGUAAAGGGUGCGUAGGCGGAUUCUUAAGUCAGGGGUGAAAUCCCGAGGCUCAACCUCGGAACUGCCUUUGAUACUGGGGAUCUUGAGUCCGGAAGAGGUGAGUGGAACUGCGAGUGUAGAGGUGAAAUUCGUAGAUAUUCGCAAGAACACCGGUGGCGAAGGCGGCUCACUGGUCCGGAACUGACGCUGAGGCACGACAGCGUGGGGAGCAAAC